UCUUACCUCACUGAGAGUGACUAACACUCUUAACCCUGAAGCCAGUAUCUGGGCUUUAUGCAGUGUAAUUUUAGCUGUGUCGGUCUCAGGAUAUUAGAGACACAAGAUGGGUGAGGUAAUAUAUUUUAUUGGGCCAACUUCUGUUGAUAAAACCACAGACUAGGACACCAACUCAAAGCAGCACCAGACCCUGCCAGAACAACAGAUGCAAAGCCUGCAGACAUAUCUCCACUGCCGCAAUGAUCAACACCCCCACAAUAUACCUUUCACAAUCCACAGAUCCUACAUAUGCUUAUCUCAACAUAUGAUGUUACCUCA